AACGCACGAGACCUGCGGACCUGCGGAAGGAUCAUUACAGGGUUCGUGCCCUCUGGGCAGACCUCCCACCCACUGUUAUUAUUACGAUUGUUGCUUUGGCGGGCCGUCCGGGCGCCGCCCGGCCGCCGGCUCCCGCUGGCGCGUGCCCGCCAGAGGCCCCUAAACUCUACGUCUUGUGUCGUCUGAGUCCCACACAAUAGUCAAAACUUUCAACAAUGGAUCUCUAGAUCGGAAGAGCAC
rnacentral:misc_RNA from 1 species